AAUUAAAUAUCUCCGAGUCUAUUUUUCCUAAAAAGUUCUUUGCUUCAAGGUAAGUAGACCGUUAGGGUACUACUGGAAACAGUUUUACCUCCCAUUGUGGAAAGGAGUCAUGUUGAAAACAGU
rnacentral:ncRNA from 1 species